AUUGAACGCUGGCGGCAUGCCUUACACAUGCAAGUCGAACGGUAACGGGCCUUCGGGUGCGGACGAGUGGCGAACGGGUGAGUAAUGCAUCGGAACGUACCUUUCAGUGGGGGAUAACGUAGCGAAAGUUACGCUAAUACCGCAUAUUCUGUGAGCAGGAAAGCAGGGGAUCGCAAGACCUUGCGCUGAUUGAGCGGCCGAUGUCAGAUUAGCUAGUUGGUGAGGUAAAGGCUCACCAAGGCGACGAUCUGUAGCGGGUCUGAGAGGAUGAUCCGCCACACUGGAACUGGGACACGGUCCAGACUCCUACGGGAGGCAGCAGUGGGGAAUUUUGGACAAUGGGGGCAACCCUGAUCCAGCCAUGCCGCGUGAGUGAAGAAGGCCUUCGGGUUGGAAAGCUCUUUCGGCCGGGAAGAAAUCGUAUGGGCUAAUACCCUGUGCGGAUGACGGUACCGGCAUAAGAAGCACCGGCUAACUACGUGCCAGCCGCCGCAGUAACAC
rnacentral:rRNA from 1 species